AUUGAACGCUGGCGGCAGGCCUAACACAUGCAAGUCGAGCGGAUGAAGGGAGCUUGCUCCUGGAUUCAGCGGCGGACGGGUGAGUAAUGCCUAGGAAUCUGCCUGGUAGUGGGGGAUAACGUCCGGAAACGGGCGCUAAUACCGCAUACGUCCUGAGGGAGAAAGUGGGGGAUCUUCGGACCUCACGCUAUCAGAUGAGCCUAGGUCGGAUUAGCUAGUUGGUGGGGUAAAGGCCUACCAAGGCGACGAUCCGUAACUGGUCUGAGAGGAUGAUCAGUCACACUGGAACUGGGACACGGUCCAGACUCCUACGGGAGGCAGCAGGGGGGAAUAUUGGACAAUGGGCGAAAGCCUGAUCCAGCCAUGCCGCGUGUGUGAAGAAGGUCUUCGGAUUGUAAAGCACUUUAAGUUGGGAGGAAGGGCAGUAAGUUAAUACCUUGCUGUUUUGACGUUACCAACAGAAUAAGCACCGGCUAACUUCGU
rnacentral:rRNA from 1 species